GGGGAAUAUUGGACAAUGGGCGAAAGCCUGAUCCAGCAAUGCCGCGUGAGUGAUGAAGGCCUUAGGGUUGUAAAGCUCUUUUACCAGGGAUGAUAAUGACAGUACCUGGAGAAUAAGCUCCGGCUAACUCCGUGCCAGCAGCCGCGGUAAUACGGAGGGAGCUAGCGUUGUUCGGAAUUACUGGGCGUAAAGCGCGCGUAGGCGGUUUAUCAAGUCAGGGGUGAAAUCCCGGGGCUCAACCCCGGAACUGCCCUUGAAACUGGUUCACUAGAAUCCUGGAGAGGCGAGUGGAAUUCCGAGUGUAGAGGUGAAAUUCGUAGAUAUUCGGAAGAACACCAGUGGCGAAGGCGACUCGCUGGACAGGCAUUGACGCUGAGGUGCGAAAGCGUGGGGAGCAAACA
rnacentral:rRNA from 1 species